rnacentral:tRNA from 1 species
GGGGUUGUAGCUCAGUGGUAGAGAGCUUGCCUAGCACAUGUGAGGCAUCACAUGAAAAUAAAUAUAGGUACUGUGUCCAUCUACAACCAAAAAAAUAUUUUAAAAAAAGAAAUCACAGAGAGGCCUGGGGUUAUGGCUCAGCAGUAGAGCACUCGCCUCGUACAUGCAAGGCCCUGGGUUCAAUCCUCAGCACCACA